rnacentral:tRNA from 1 species
GCGCUGUAGUUUACGGCGGCAAAGUGCUUCGCUAGGGCCGAACCGGAGUAGGCGUCGGUCGCAUUCGCGGCGGUGUA